CCGAGCGUCCCGGCCCCCCAGGGCUGCGGCCUCACCAUCCUUUGCUUAAACCCUCCUUGCGGGGCCCCUCCUCCGGCCGACGGCCCGAGGGAGGGCCCUUGGACCCGGCCGCCCGGGCAGACCUCCUCCAGGAAACAGGGGGCACCCCGCCCUCCGCUCCGGCAGCCAGGCCCGAACCCAAACCUUGAAACGUGUCUUUUUCGGCCCAGCCGAACCAACA
rnacentral:misc_RNA from 1 species